AUGUCGGCGAGCGAGGGGAAGAAGACGGCGUGCGUCACCGGAGGGAGCGGUUACAUCGCUUCAGCGCUCAUCAAGCUGCUGCUCGAGAAAGGCUACGCUGUCAAGACGACCGUCAGAGACCCUGGUUCAUUUCUUGCUUCUUGGCUCCUAGUUCUGUCUUAUGACACGGAGAAGAAUUCCCACCUCAAGGACUUGCAAGCGCUUGGCCCCUUGGAGGUCAUCCGUGCCUGGCUGGACGAAGAAGGCAGCUUCGACGAUGCAGUUUCCGGCUGCGACUACGCCUUCCUUGUCGCCGCUCCGAUGAACUUCGGCUCAGCAGAUCCUGAGAGAGAUAUGAUCGAGCCGGCCGUCCAAGGAACACUCAACGUGAUGAGGUCGUGCGUGCGAGCGGGGACGGUGAAGCGGGUGAUCCUGACGUCAUCGGACGCCAGCGUGUCCAGGAGGCCGCUGCAGGGCGACCGCCACGUGCUGGACGAGAGCUCCUGGUCCGACGUCGAGUACCUCAGAGCCAACAAACCACCAACUUGGGAAUACGUGGUGUCCAAGGUGCUUCUGGAGAAGGCGGCGACCAAAUUCGCGGAGGAGAACGGCAUCAGCCUCGUCACCGUGCUGCCCGUGUUCACCUUGGGCACGGCGCCGGUCUCCAAGGCCAGAACCAGCGCCCCCCCUUACCCUCUCCCUAUUAACUGGCGAUGA
rnacentral:rRNA from 1 species